AAGCGAAAGUGACGGUACCUGCAGAAGAAGCACCGGCUAACUACGUGCCAGCAGCCGCGGUAUUACGUAGGGUGCGAGCGUUAUCCGGAAUUAUUGGGCGUAAAGAGCUCGUAGCGGUUUUGUCGCGUCUGUCGUGAAAGUCCGGGGCUUAACCCGGGAUUGCGGUGGGGUACGGGCAGACUAGAGUGCAGUAGGGGAGACUGGAAUUCCUGGUGUAGCGGUGGAAUGCGCAGAUAUCAGGAGGAACACCGAUGGCGAAGGCAGGUCUCUGGGCUGUAACUGACGCUGAGGAGCGAAACCAUGGGGAGCGAACAGGAUUAGAUACCCUGGUAGUCCAUGCCGUAAACGUUGGGCACUAGGUGUGGGGACCAUUCCACGGUUUCCGCGCCGCAGCUAACGCAUUAAGUGCCCCGCCUGGGGAGUACGGCCGCAAGGCUAAAACUCAAAGGAAUUGACGGGGGCCCGCACAAGCGGCGGAGCAUGCGGAUUAAUUCGAUGCAACGCGAAGAACCUUACCAAGGCUUGACAUGUUCUCGAUCGCCGUAGAGAUACGGUUUCCCCUUUGGGGUGGGUUCACAGGUGGUGCAUGGUUGUCGUCAGCUCGUGUCGUGAGAUGUUGGGUUAAGUCCCGCAACGAGCGCAACCCUCGUUCCAUGUUGCCAGCACGUCGUGGUGGGGACUCAUGGGAGACUGCCGGGGUCAACUCGGAGGAAGGUGAGGACGACGUCAAAUCAUCAUGCCCCUUAUGUCUUGGGCUUCACGCAUGCUGCAAUGGCCGGUACAAUGGGUUGCGAUACUGUGAGGUGGAGCUAAUCCCAAAAAGCCGGUCUCAGUUCGGAUUGGGGUCUGCAACUCGACCCCAUGAAGUCGGAGUCGCUAGUAAUCGCAGAUCAGCAACGCUGCGGUGAAUACGUUCCCGGGCCUUGUACACACCG
rnacentral:rRNA from 1 species